rnacentral:rRNA from 1 species
GAUGAACGCUGGCGGCGUGCCUAAUACAUGCAAGUCGAGCGAAUGGAUUAAGAGCUUGCUCUUAUGAAGUUAGCGGCGGACGGGUGAGUAACACGUGGGUAACCUGCCCAUAAGACUGGGGUAACUCCGGGAAACCGGGGCUAAUACCGGAUAACAUUUUGAACCGCAUGGUUCGAAAUUGAAAGGCGGCUUCGGCUGUCACUUAUGGAUGGACCCGCGUCGCAUUAGCUAGUUGGUGAGGUAACGGCUCACCAAGGCAACGAUGCGUAGCCGACCUGAGAGGGUGAUCGGCCACACUGGGACUGAGACACGGCCCAGACUCCUACGGGAGGCAGCAGUAGGGAAUCUUCCGCAAUGGACGAAAGUCUGACGGAGCAACGCCGCGUGAGUGAUGAAGGCUUUCGGGUCGUAAAACUCUGUUGUUAGGGAAGAACAAGUGCUAGUUGAAUAAGCUGGCACCUUGACGGUACCUAACCAGAAAGCCACGGCUAACUACGUGCCAGCAGCCACAGUAA